rnacentral:rRNA from 1 species
UAUGUAGGGUGCAAGCGUUAAUCGGAAUUACUGGGCGUAAAGCGUGCGCAGGCGGCUAUGCAAGACAGAUGUGAAAUCCCCGGGCUUAACCUGGGAACUGCAUUUGUGACUGCAUGGCUAGAGUACGGUAGAGGGGGAUGGAAUUCCGCGUGUAGCAGUGAAAUGCGUAGAUAUGCGGAGGAACACCGAUGGCGAAGGCAAUCCCCUGGACCUGUACUGACGCUCAUACACGAAAGCGUGGGGAGCAAACAGG